GCCGGUCCAAACCGCCUCCGGAAUUGCCGUGGGUUUAGGGUACGAGACUGUGGCCGACAAGGAGGAGCCGCCGUUCCCGCUGGGGCUCCGGUAGUACGAGACUGUGGCGGUUCUCAGACCCGAUAUGUCUGAAGAUGAAAGACUCGCUCUUACUCAGAAGAAUGAGGAGAUGAUACCUGUGGCAGCAAACGAUGUGGCAUUAUCUUCUCAUGGUGUUUUAUUGACUGCACAGACCCUGAUUCAAAUUGCAAUCUAUGAACGUGGAAAUCAGAAGGUGUCAAAGAUUUCCAUUGGAAUCAUUGUUGCUGUGUGGCUAAGUGCUGCAGUUUUCUUUUCAUAGCUUUGUCAAACCACUCUUGGCUUUGGCUCAUUUCCAUUUUCAAAUUUGAAGGAAAUCUUUUUGGACUUAUGUUUGGGCUUCCAUAG